AUGAAGUGCACUUGCCUUGCCGUCCACUUCACCGUCUGCCUGCCGUGUCUGCUAACCCUGAAUGAACCUGAAAGCUCCCUGCUGCACAUCUCCCACGGGUCAGAUGACAUGGGCUGCAUCUCAAUAGUCUAGUAGCUUCCUCUCCUUCAUCCAAUAGACUAAUAGCUUCCUCAUCUCCUCUCCUUCAUCUCAAUAGUCUAGUAGCUUCCUCUCCUCAUCAUCUCAAUAGUCUAGUAGCUUCCUCUCCUCGUCAUCUCAAUAGUCUAGUAGUUUCCUCUCCUUCAUCCAAUAGACUAAUAGCUUCCUCAUCUCCUCUCCUUCAUCUCAAUAGUCUAGUAGCUUCCUCUCCUCAUCUCCUCUCCUUCAUCUCAAUAGUCUAGUAGCUUCCUCUCCUCGUCAUCUCAAUAGUCUAGUAGUUUCCUCUCCUUCAUUAAAAUAGACCAAUAGCUUCCUCAUCUCCUCUCCUUCAUCUCAAUAGUCUAGUAGUUUCCUCUCCUUCAUCCAAUAGACUAAUAACUUCCUCAUCUCCUCUCCUUCAUCCAAUAGACUAAUAGCUUCCUCGUCUCCUCUCCUUCAUCCAAUAGACUAAUAGCUUCCUCGUCUCCUCUCCUUCAUCUCAAUAGUCUAGUAGCUUCCUCUCCUCAUCUCCUCUCCUUCAUCUCAAUAGUCUAGUAGCUUCCUCUCCUCGUCAUCUCCCCUUCAUCUCAAUAGUCUAGUAGCUUCCUCUCCUCAUCUCCUCUCCUUCAUCUCAAUAACUAAUAGCUUCCUCGUCUCCUCUCCUUCAUCUCAAUAGUCUAGUAGCUUCCUCUCCUCAUCUCUUCAUCUCAAUAGUCUAGUAGCUUCCUCUCCUCGUCAUCUCAAUAGUCUAGUAGCUUCCUCUCCUCAUCUCCUCUCCUUCAUCUCAAUAGUCUAGUAGCUUCCUCUCCUCGUCAUCUCAAUAGUCUAGUAGCUUCCUCUCCUCAUCUCUUCUCCUUCAUCUCAAUAGUCUAGUAGCUUCCUCUCCUCAAUCUCAAUAUUCUAGUAGCUUCCUCUCCUCAUCUCCUCUCCUUCAUCUCAAUAGUCUAGUAGCUUCCUCUCCUCAUCUCCUCUCCUUCAUCUCAAUAGUCUAGUAGCUUCCUCUCCUCAUCUCCUCUCCUUCAUCUCAAUAGUCUAGUAGCUUCCUCUCCUCAUCUCCUCUCCUUCAUCUCAAUAGUCU
ensembl:lncRNA